UACGGAGGGGGCUAGCGUUGUUCGGAAUUACUGGGCGUAAAGCGCGCGUAGGCGGACCUGCAAGUCGGGGGUGAAAGCCCGAGGCUCAACCUCGGAACUGCCUUCGAUACUGCGGGUCUCGAGUCCGGGAGAGGUGAGUGGAAUUCCACGUGUAGCAGUGAAAUGCGUAGAGAUGUGGAGGAACACCGAUGGCGAAGGCAGCCCCCUGGGCUAACACUGACGCUCAGGCACGAAAGCGUGGGAGCAAACAGG
rnacentral:rRNA from 1 species